rnacentral:rRNA from 1 species
UACGUAGGGUGCAAGCGUUAAUCGGAAUUACUGGGCGUAAAGCGUGCGCAGGCGGUUCUGUAAGUUUGUCGUGAAAUCCCCGGGCUCAACCUGGGAAUGGCGAUGAAGACUGCAAGGCUAGAAUCUGGCAGAGGGGGGUAGAAUUCCACGUGUAGCAGUGAAAUGCGUAGAGAUGUGGAGGAACACCGAUGGCGAAGGCAGCCCCCUGGGUCAAGAUUGACGCUCAUGCACGAAAGCGUGGGGAGCAAACAGG